GUCCCUGUAGCGCAAUGGAUGACGCGUUGGACAUCUAAUCCAAAGGUCGUAGGUUCGAAUUCCACCUGGGAUG